GCUAUGCCUCCUGCUGUUCUUUUUAAUUCAAUAUAUUGAUAUGUUUCUUUUAACUUUUUAUAUGCUUUACUUCCGCACUUUACAUUAUAUGGAUGGUAUAUAUAUAUAUAUAUAUAUAUAUAUUAGGCCUUUAGUGAUAUUGAUUAAAGAUUUCCAAAUUUUUUUUUUUAAUUUGAAAACGUUUAAAUUAAAACUGCAUCUUAAAAGAUCCGCUCCUUGAAAAUAGUAUCACGGGGUAUAACUAAACAAAAAAGAUACACUAUCAUGUUUUGUCCUAUAACUAGAAUACAAAACCCUUCAAAACAUUGAUAGCCAUAGAAGCCCUUCAAAAUAUUGAUAGCAACACUCCCCAAGCAUAACCCAUUUGUUAAAUUGGGAGGGAGAGAGGGAAAGAGAGAUAACGUGAUAAUUUAUUUAUUUAAUAUUAGAGAUAUGCUAGAAUCAUAUGUGAAAAUGUCAAAUUUGAUUUAUGUGAAAUUAUAUUACUGUCUAUGAUUUUAAAUUGUCUUCUAACCACGCGGUUGAUAUGAUCACUCUUACAAAAUCAUCAGAUUAUUUAUGUUUUGGUCUUAACGACUUCAUACUGGUUUCACGAGGUGUGAGAGCUACUACUCUGCUAAGAAAUCAGCACCAAAUAUUGAAAAAAGCAUAUAACUCAAGUGGUUUCAUGUGCGCUUGAAAUCUUGUACUCAAAUCACCUCCCAAUAGUACUUGCAUUAAAAGAAUACAAAGGCAUAUAACUCAAGUAGUAAUUAUACACAUCUCGUUUUUUAUUAACUAUGAAAAAAAAGCUCACUAAAAUGUGCUUUAUUGCAUGUUUAAUGUCCUUUUGUUCAUGAGAGUUUUUAUUUUGAUUGAAGUUAAAUAUGAACGCAACAAAAACUUAUAAAAAAGCAAAACAAAGUUAUUUUAGAAUACCUUAUACUUUCACACUGGUAAUUUCUCGCAGACGUCGUUAGCCUGAACCCUAAACUUCAAACCCUGCAAUCGAUCUUUAGUGUAUCUGCCAGUUCGAAUCCCAAGACCUAUUGGAUUCGAACAUCACUCAAACCCAACAGAGUACAAGGGAACCAGCCGCGUUAACUAAAAAAAAAGAUGUGCUAUCCACACACUUCAUUUUACUUUUCACACACCUUUUGUUAAUUUAUGUCUAUUGAUCUUUUUCAAUUUAUCCGAUCCGACGGUUGAAAAUUAGAAGGAUGUGUGAGAAGUAAAAAAGGAUGUGUGGAUAUUUCUAAGGACUUGGCCGGGCCUUUGUCGUCAAUGGCCAACUGGGCGAACUCCUUUUUAUUCUGAAACUCCAUUCACUCUUGUAUGAGUCGAUCCUCACAAAUGGAUAGUGUUUUUGUUGUUUUUUUUUGUCACAUCCAUUAUUUUAAUAAAUCGUGUCGUGUCAAACUCAUUAUAUUAAUGGGUUCUUAACAUGUGAUCCGAGAAUGAUUCGACUCGGUAGUGAAUCAACUCAAAACCUGUUAUUUUCGUGUCGUUUAGUGUUGGUUUAAAGACUCAUGUAAGAAAUUGUCAUGCCUAAUGUCUAGACUUGACAAAUGGGUCGUGUUCGUGUCGUUUAUAUGUCGUACCUGUUAUCUUGAUAGGUUAUAGGUGAUCUGAUAAUGACUCGAAACUUGUUAUAAUCCACCACUAUUAACACCUCUAUUCUCAUCACUACUACUCCAACCACCAUUGCUACUCACACCACUCUCGUCUCAACCACCAUCGUCACCAUUAUUACCAAACAGAAAUUUGUAUUUUUUUUGACAUUUGGUACCAAACGUGUUUUCUAUUGUUUUUGUUUUGCAAGACAAUUUUUCAAAAAUAGUUUUGCAAAACAUUACUGACCCUUAUGGUACAGUAAAAUCUCCGCAAAACAGAGUUUUAUGAAGGUUGUUGCAUUUUGCAAAACCGAUCCAACUUUGUAAGCAUCUUUUAUUUGACUAUGAUUGUUGAGUAUUUAUAUAUCUUUGCGAGCGCUGAAAUUUGAAAACAAAAAUGUUAUUAGUCAUUUCGAAGCGGUUUUACCAUUUAAUAUGCACAUAAGCAUUUAUAUAUAUUAGGCCUUUGUUGCUAUUGAUUAAAGAUUUGCAGAAACAAAUUGCUUAAAUUUGAGCGCAGGGUUGGAAAAAAAAGAGCAAAACAAAGGAAUAUCCGACGAGGAUCCUGCUGGUCCAAACUUAACAAGUCCAUUCUCUCUGCCAGUUUCGAUCCCAGGACCUAUUGAACUCGACUUCCUCAAAUCCAACGAUGUACGAGGGAACCGGCGACAUGGAACCUCCAAAUUGUUUAUUUAAGAUGCUUGAGAAUGUGGGCAAAAGUCGCAAAACACAACUCCCUUUGCUCUUUUGUAGUUACGUUUACAACUAGGACAUUACCCUGUUUACAUGAUAAACUUAAUCAAUCAAGUAGUUUCUUACUUUUA